AGUCUUUGCCAUGAGGAAGUAGCUGGAGAACGUUAUCCAGAGCAAGUGUGCUGCAGCUAUGGCUGGAAACAGGAACGUAAACAUUGUUAUCGUAGGCAGUGGGAUAGCGGGGAUCGCUGCGUGUCACAGGCUGGUUAAUUCUGGGUUCACUAAUGUCCACAUACUUGAAGCAACUGAAAGAAGUGGAGGACGAAUUAAAACUGGCAGAUUUGGUACAGCUCGCUGAGAUUUAUGAUACUGCAUCAGCUCGAAGGCAGAGGUCACAGCAGUAUGACUGUUUCUGUUUGUAUGACCUAAUGUAAUUGGGUCUGUGGGCGGGUGGGUGUGUGUAUACAAGGAUUGGGAGAUACACUAAUAACUGUUGAUUUACUAUGGGACCAUUUCCCAAUACUGUAAUGAUUGUAAAGUUGAACAAGUGCUUUUAUUGAAAACUAUACUUGUCAUUUUGUCUGACCUACUUUGUAUACCAUUGUUUUUCUGAGUUACCUUGCUGGCCAGCUAGUUCCCACGGGAUGUAUAUGUGUGUCUAUCUACAUUACACAAUGGAAGUAUUCUGAGAGGAGGCCAGUUCCUUUUUCCCACAGUGGAAAUGUUAUUUAUUAUUCGAUGAUGUCACAAUCAGGUGACUUUGUUGUAAUUAGAUUGUUGUUGUACUGACAUUAACACAGUUUUAACGAAUUACUCGUGAAAAAUAAAGACGCUCUCUAGCUAAAACUUUACAAAAUAUCUGAACAAGGUGAAAGACAUGAGACAAAAAAGUAAUUCAUUUGAAAACAUACAAAUAAAAAACAGAAGAACUUUU